UACGAAGGGUGCAAACGUUGCUCGGAAUCAUUGGGCGUAAAGCGCACGUAGGCGGCCUCAAAAGUCGGAUGUGAAAUCCCGUGGCUCAACCAUGGACGUGCAUUCGAAACCGCGAGGCUUGAGUAUGGAAGAGGGUCGCGGAAUUCCCGGUGUAGAGGUGAAAUUCGUAGAUAUCGGGAGGAACACCAGUGGCGAAGGCGGCGACCUGGGCCAAUACUGACGCUGAGGUGCGAAAGCGUGGGGAGCAAACAGG
rnacentral:rRNA from 1 species